UACGUAGGGGGGCAAGCGUUGUCCGGAAUCAUUGGGCGUAAAGCGCGUGUAGGCGGCCCGGUAAGUCCGCUGUGAAAGUCGGGGGGCUCAACCCUCGGAUGCCGGUGGAUACUGUCGGGCUCGAGUACGGAAGAGGCGAGUGGAAUUCCUGGUGUAGCGGUGAAAUGCGCAGAUAUCAGGAGGAACACCGAUUGCGAAGGCAGCUCGCUGGGACGUGACUGACGCUGAGACGCGAAACGUGGGGAGCAAACAGG
rnacentral:rRNA from 1 species